rnacentral:rRNA from 12 species
UUCGGAUGGGUAGGGGAUGAUGUCCUUGUACUUUUCCUGGCGCGUAGAACAACCAGCUCGGAACUGGAGUGGACAAGAGGGGAAUCCAACUGUUCAAUUUAAACCAAGCAUUCUCACAGUUCUUCG